rnacentral:lncRNA from 1 species
AUUGACUUCUUCUAAAGCAUCGUCGGAAAGGACCAAAGGCUCCACAUAAAGCAAGUGUUGGUGUUGGAAGCACUCGGACAGUCUGAGGGAAGACAUUGGUCGGUUGAAUAUUGCACCAGAUGUGCGUAGAGAAUGGUCACAUUAUAAGAAACUACCAGAGCAGGCUCAUUCGAGGAAGCCACUGAAAUUUCAGAUCACGAGCAUCCUAAAGUCGUUCCGCCACCUGGAAAAGCACGAUACUGAACAGGAAAAAGAGAACUCUUCACUUUUCUCGUGCGAUUUUGUGCCUAAC